rnacentral:rRNA from 1 species
GACGAACGCUGGCGGCGUGCCUAAUACAUGCAAGUAGAACGCUGAAGGAGGAGCUUGCUUCUCUGGAUGAGUUGCGAACGGGUGAGUAACGCGUAGGUAACCUGCCUGGUAGCGGGGGAUAACUAUUGGAAACGAUAGCUAAUACCGCAUAAGAGUAGAUGUCGCAUGACAUUUGCUUAAAAGGUGCAAUUGCAUCACUACCAGAUGGACCUGCGUUGUAUUAGCUAGUUGGUGAGGUAACGGCUCACCAAGGCAACGAUACAUAGCCGACCUGAGAGGGUGAUCGGCCACACUGGGACUGAGACACGGCCCAGACUCCUACGGGAGGCAGCAGUAGGGAAUCUUCGGCAAUGGACGGAAGUCUGACCAAGCAACGCCGCGUGAGUGAAGAAGGUUUUCGGAUCGUAAAGCUCUGUUGUAAGAGAAGAACGAGUGUGAGAGUGGAAAGUUCACACUGUGACGGUAUCUUACCAGAAAGGGACGGCUAACUACGUG